GAUGUGAGGAAAAAGAAGAGCAGCUGAGCAGGUAAAGGAUUCAGAGGUAUGGGGUUUGCUUGAAGUCGGAGAUAUCCUUUUAAAUCAUUUAUUAAACUCUUCGUGCUUCCCUAAGAACUUCACAAAUUUUAGGUGUACUUCUCAGUUAUUUUUGCCUUUAUUUUGUUUAUUAAUACAGUUAUUUAAUGGUUCAAAUUUUUCUUUUUGUCAAAUAGUUAUUUAAGAUAAAUUGAUGUAUUUAAGUAAAAAAUUCAUUACCGCAC
rnacentral:lncRNA from 1 species